GCAGCCGCGGUAAUUCCAGCUCCAAUAGCGUAUAUUAAAGUUGUUGCAGUUAAAAAGCUCGUAGUUGAAUUUCGGGAUCAAUUUGUUGGUCGUGCCUCGGUACGUACUGGCAUUAUUGGUUUCUACCUUCUGAAGAACCUUGAUGUCAUUAAUUUGGUGUCUUGGGGAAUCAGGACUGUUACUUUGAAAAAAUUAGAGUGUUUAAAGCAGGCAUACGCUUGAAUACAUUAGCAUGGAAUAAUGAAAUAGGACGUUUGAUUCUAUUUUGUUGGUUUCUAGGAUCGACGUAAUGAUUAAUAGGGAUAGUUGGGGGCAUUAGUAUUCAAUUGUCAGAGGUGAAAUUCUUGGAUUUAUUGAAGACUAACUACUGCGAAAGCAUUUGCCAAGGAUGUUUUCAUUAAUCAAGAACGAAAGUUAGGGGAUCGAAGACGAUCAGAUACCGUCGUAGUCUUAACCAUAAACUAUGCCGACUAGGGAUCGGAUGAUGUUAUUUUUAAUGACUCAUUC
rnacentral:rRNA from 1 species